GACUGGUCCGAAGGUAGUGAGUUAUCUCAAUUGAUUGUUCCCAGUCAGUUACAGAUUGAACUCCUUUUUCUACUCCUCCCCCCGCUUCUUACUGCAAUUGACUACUCUGAA
rnacentral:Y_RNA from 1 species